rnacentral:piRNA from 2 species
UCAGUGGUUAAGAGUGCUUGCUGCUCUUAC